CUACGGGGGGCUGCAGUGGGGAAUAUUGCACAAUGGAGGAAACUCUGAUGCAGCAACGCCGCGUAGAGGAUGACACUUUUCGGAGCGUAAACUCCUUUUAUAUAGGAAGAAGAUGACGGUACUAUAUGAAUAAGCGCCGGCUAACUCCGUGCCAGCAGCCGCGGUAAUACGGAGGGCACAAGCGUUACUCGGAAUCACUGGGCGUAAAGAGCGUGUAGGCGGAUUAAAAAGUCAGAAGUGAAAUCCUAUAGCUUAACUAUAGAACUGCUUCUGAAACUCUUAAUCUAGAAUAUGGGAGAGGUAGAUGGAAUUUCUGGUGUAGGGGUAAAAUCCGUAGAGAUCAGAAGGAAUACCGAUUGCGAAGGCGAUCUACUAGAACAUUAUUGACGCUGAGACGCGAAAGCGUGGGGAGCAAACAGGAUUAGAUACCCCGGUAGUC
rnacentral:rRNA from 1 species